rnacentral:rRNA from 1 species
UACGAAGGGUGCAAGCGUUACUCGGAAUUACUGGGCGUAAAGCGUGCGUAGGUGGUUUUUUAAGUCCGUUGUGAAAGCCCUGGGCUCAACCUGGGAAUGGCAGUGGAUACUGGAAAGCUAGAGUGCGGUAGAGGGUAGUGGAAUUCCCGGUGUAGCAGUGAAAUGCGUAGAGAUCGGGAGGAACACCAGUGGCGAAGGCGGCUACCUGGACCAGCACUGACACUGAGGCACGAAGGCCAGGGGAGCGAACAGG